CUACGGGCGGCUCCAGUGGGGAAUAUUGCACAAUGGGCGCAAGCCUGAUGCAGCCAUGCCGCGUGUAUGAAGAAGGCCUUCGGGUUGUAAAGUACUUUCAGCGGGGAGGAAGGGAGUAAAGUUAAUACCUUUGCUCAUUGACGUUACCCGCAGAAGAAGCACCGGCUAACUCCGUGCCAGCAGCCGCGGUAAUACGGAGGGUGCAAGCGUUAAUCGGAAUUACUGGGCGUAAAGCGCACGCGGGCGGUUUGUUAAGUCAGAUGUGAAAUCCCCGGGCUCAACCUGGGAACUGCAUCUGAUACGGGCAAGCUUGAGUCUCGUAGAGGGGGGUAGAAUUCCAGGGGUAGCGGUGAAAUGCGUAGAGAUCUGGAGGAAUACCGGUGGCGAAGGCGGCCCCCUGGACGAAGACUGACGCUCAGGUGCGAAAGCGUGGGAGCAAACAGGAUUAGAUACCCGAGUAGUC
rnacentral:rRNA from 1 species